rnacentral:rRNA from 1 species
GUAGGUGGCAAGCGUUGUCCGGAAUUAUUGGGCGUAAAGCGCGCGCAGGCGGUCCUUUAAGUCUGAUGUGAAAGCCCACGGCUCAACCGUGGAGGGUCAUUGGAGACUGGGGGACUUGAGUACAGAAGAGGAAAGCGGAAUUCCAAGUGUAGCGGUGAAAUGCGUAGAGAUUUGGAGGAACACCAGUGGCGAAGGCGGCUUUCUGGUCUGUAACUGACGCUGAGGCGCGAAAGCGUGGGGAGCAAACAGGGAUUAGAUACCCUGGUAGUCCACGCCGUAAACGAUGAGUGCUAAGUGUUAGGGGGUUUCCCGCCCCUUAGUGCUGCAGCUAACGCAUUAAGCACUCCGCCUGGGGAUACGGCCGCAAGGCUG